rnacentral:rRNA from 1 species
AAGCAGUAAGGCUGAGUAUUAGGCAAAUCCGGUACUCGUUAAGGCUGAGCUGUGAUGGGGAGAAGACAUUGUGUCUUCGAGUCGUUGAUUUCACACUGCCGAGAAAAGCCUCUAGAUAGAAAAUAGGUGCCCGUACCGCAAACCGACACAGGUAGUCAAGAUGAGAAUUCUAAGGUGAGCGAGCGAACUCUCGUUAAGGAACUCGGCAAAAUGACCCCGUAACUUCGGGAGAAGGGGUGCUCUUUAGGGUUAACGCCCAGAAGAGCCGCAGUGAAUAGGCCCAAGCGACUGUUUAUCAAAAACACAGGUCUCUGCUAAACCGUAAGGUGAUGUAUAGGGGCUGACGCCUGCCCGGUGCUGGAAGGUUAAGAGGAGUGGUUAGCUUCUGCGAAGCUACGAAUCGAAGCCCCAGUAAACGGCGGCCGUAACUAUAACGGUCCUAAGGUAGCGAAAUUCCUUGUCGGGUAAGUUCCGACCCGCACGAAAGGCGUAACGAUUUGGGCACUGUCUCAACGAGAGACUCGGUGAAAUCAUAGUACCUGUGAAGAUGCAGGUUACCCGCGACAGGACGGAAAGACCCCGUGGAGCUUUACUGUAGCCUGAUAUUGAAAUUCGGCACAGCUUGUACAGGAUAGGUAGGAGCCUUUGAAACGUGAGCGCUAGCUUACGUGGAGGCGCUGGUGGGAUACUACCCUAGCUGUGUUGGCUUUCUAACCCGCACCACUUAUCGUGGUGGGAGACAGUGUCAGGCGGGCAGUUUGACUGGGGCGGUCGCCUCCUAAAAGGUAACGGAGGCGCUCAAAGGUUCCCUCAGAAUGGUUGGAAAUCAUUCAUAGAGUGUAAAGGCAUAAGGGAGCUUGACUGCGAGACCUACAAGUCGAGCAGGGUCGAAAGACGGACUUAGUGAUCCGGUGGUUCCGCAUGGAAGGGCCAUCGCUCAACGGAUAAAAGCUACCCCGGGGAUAACAGGCUUAUCUCCCCCAAGAGUUCACAUCGACGGGGAGGUUUGGCACCUCGAUGUCGGCUCAUCGCAUCCUGGGGCUGUAGUCGGUCCCAAGGGUUGGGCUGUUCGCCCAUUAAAGCGGUACGCGAGCUGGGUUCAGAACGUCGUGAGACAGUUCGGUCCCUAUCCGUCGUGGGCGUAGGAAAUUUGAGAGGAGCUGUCCUUAGUACGAGAGGACCGGGAUGGACAUACCUCUGGUGUACCAGUUGUCGUGCCAACGGCAUAGCUGGGUAGCUAUGUGUGGACGGGAUAAGUGCUGAAAGCAUCUAAGCAUGAAGCCCCCCUCAAGAUGAGAUUUCCCAACUUCGGUUAUAAGAUCCCUCAAAGAUGAUGAGGUUAAUAGGUUCGAGGUGGAAGCAUGGUGACAUGUGGAGCUGACGAAUACUAAUCGAUCGAAGAC